rnacentral:lncRNA from 1 species
GUUUUUUUUAACAUCAUAGCUUAUUAUUGCUUUUAUUUUGACAAUUAACUUACUAUGAUAAUAAUAUGCAUUGACACACCACAUCCAUCUAUACAGAGUAGAUGUUUAAUAAAUUCUUGUUGAAAUUCAUUGUAGAAAUACAUUUAUAAAGUUGGAAAUCUCCUUUGCCAGAAAGCUGAGAACUCUUCUGUAAGAAAAAAAUUCAGGGCAAUAAGAAACAUUUCAGUAGUUUGUAAUAUAUGUGUGUAUGAUAUGUAUCAUGUAUAUGCUAUUCAUACAUAUAUAGGCACACACAUAUUUUAUAGGAAACAUUUCUAAAGAAAUAUCAAAUGAUCUUUAGGUGUUUAGAGGAAGAUUUGUACAAGAAAGGUAGAUUCAAAAAGAAAAGCUGCCCUAACUUACUUUAUUGCUUCUUUGCUAAAGGUAUUUAUUCAGAACAUCAGAAGUAAAGCUUUAAAGUCAAAUGUCUGGAGAAAUUUAAAUAUAUGUGAAUGCGUAUGUUUAAAUUGAAGAAGAAUGUUGACAGAAAUAAAUCACUUUUAGAGAGAAUUCCCAGGACCUGGUCCCUUUUAGGAAAGCUCUCCUGGUCCUUGUGCAAAUACAUGUUCCUUUAAAGUACUUGCCCACAUAAUUUAUGGGUUUAUGUCUGUAUGCCUCUGUUUAUUUUUGGUAUAAAAAUCCUUGCUUAUAAAAAGGGUAGUUAAGUAUGGUACUACAUAACUGUGAGCCCUUUUGCCUGACUUAAGAGUUUGGACUUAAGGAACAUAAACUAAAGUCAGAGGUAAUUCAAUUAACAUUCUGAACGCACAAAGGUAUGCUCGCUUCUCAGCUUUAGGGCACAAAACAGCCCCGUUAAAUUAUAGCAGUAAUUACACCACAUAUGCACAGUCUUUAAAAUUUCAUGAAUCACAAGGCUGAGCUCUAAUUUGAGAUGUUUGUGUCUGUCUCUGGAGAAUCAACUGAAAUAGAAAUCUUGAAGCCAAAGAGCUCAACUCCAUGUCCAGAUUCACAAAACAAAACCCAUCACCUUCCAGUCUCAAGACACAUUCCAGAUUCUCCCAGUUUCCUUACCACUCAUUCUAACUCAUCACUAAACUCUGUGGAUGAUAGCUCUGAAAUAGCUCUUGAAUCUGCCUACUUCCGCCCAUCUUCCUUGCCAUCGUCCUGGUCCAGGAUGCCAUCUUCUCUCAUUCAUAUCCGCAUCAGUGGUCUUCUGCCUGUUCUCUCUGCCCCCAUUAUUGUCUUCUCCAGUCUCCAUUCCACUUUGCAUACACCCAAACUUUUAAUGAAAUAAGAUCACACCUGGAAGGCUGCUGCAAACCUCAGUCUACAUGUCACUUCUCCAGGCCUUUUCCUGGGUUCAACUCCCUUGCACCACCCUCCUGAAACCUCUUGUAAUUCCUGUCAUAACAAGUGUCACAUAGGAUUGUAACUCCCCGG